AUGAAUGCUGCUCUCACCGUCGCCGUAGCCGGGGAAGAAAUCGACGAGGCCGUAGCCGGGGAAGAAAUCGACGAGGCCGCCUCUCGGGCUCAGGCUGACAUGUUGGAGAUCAUGUCGUCGCUCCCACGGUGCCCGGUGUACCUUACUCGCCACUACCGCGGCUUCUGGAUCCGCGACUGCCCCAAGUCCGGCACCACCUGGCUCAAGGCGCUCGCCUUUGCGACGCUCAACCGCGCCAGGCACUUGCCGUCCGACUCCAACCACCCGCUAUGCCACCGCAACCCGCACGACUGCGUCGCCUUCCUCGAGACCAGGCCCGUGCCUGAGACCAUGGCGCUCCCUUCUCCCCGGCUGCUCACAACCCACAUCCCCUGCUCCCUCCUGCCCAGCCGCAUAACGGAAUGCGGCCGGGUCGUCUACGUGUGCCGGGAGCCAAAGGACACUCUGGUCUCCUUCUGGAUCUACAACAACAAGAUCGCGCCGAUGCUGCGCCGGAAGUUCGGCCUGGAGUCUCCCUCGCCCACGUUCGAGGAGGCGUUCGAGCUCUUCUGCGAGGGGCAGAGCAGCUCCGGACCGCCGUGGCGCCACGCCCUCGAGUACUGGGAGGAGAGCCGGAGGAGGCCUGGGAAGGUGCUCUUCCUCAGGUACGAGGACAUGCUGCAAGACCCCACAGGCAACGCCAAGAAUCUCGCUGCGUUCAUGGGGUGCCCGUUUUCUUGCGCAGAGGAGGAGGCAGGGGUGGUGCAGGAGAUCGUGCAACUCUGUAGCUUUGAGAAACUCAAGAGCUCGGAGGUGAACAAGAAUGGCAGCAGCGCCAUGAUGGGCGUCAACAACGACGUAUACUUCAGGAAGGGAGCGGUCGGCGACUGGAAAAACUACAUGACGCCGGAGAUGGCGGCGCGGCUGGACAAGAUCGUCGAGGAGGCGCUUCAAGGUUCAGGCCUGACCUUUGGCAUCUCCAUGUAG
rnacentral:rRNA from 1 species